rnacentral:lncRNA from 1 species
AUGCACAUACACUCCGCAUGCCAUGCACUACACACACCAUACACCAUACACACACACACACACACACACUCUGCAUGCCACACGCUACACACACCAUGCACCAUACACACACACACACACACACACUCUGCAUGCCACGCGCUACACACACCACGCACCAUACACACACACACACACUGCAAGCCAUGCACUGCACACACCAUGCACCAUACACACACACACACUCUGCACGCCACGCACUUCACACACCACACAGGCACACUCUGCACACCAUGCACUGCACACACCACACACCACAUGCACCACACACACACACACUCUGACCACCACGCACCACAUACACCACACACACAUACUGUGCAUGCCACGCACCAUACACACCACACACACACACCACACACCACACGCUCACUCUGCAUGCCAUGUACCGCAUACACCAUGCACCACACACACACACUGUGCAUGCCAUGCACCACCCAUACCAUGCACCAUAGACACCACACACACUCUGCACACCAUACACUCCAGACACCACAUACACACACUCUGUAUGCCACACACUGCACACACCACGCACUGCACACACCACAUACACACACUCUGUAUGCCAUGCACCACACACGCCACACACACACUGCAUGCCAUACACUGCACACACCACGUACCGUACACACCACACACACACAGCACACCACGCACAGCACACACCACAUACACACACUCUGUGUGCCACACAGUGUACACACCACACACCACAAGCAUCACACACACCACACACACACUCUGCACACCACGCACCCUACACCACACACACACUCUGACUGCCACACACACCAAGCACCAUACACACCACGCACCACACACACCAUGUACCACACCCACCACACACGCACUCUCUGCACACCACACACACUACAUACACAUCACACACACACUCACACUCUGCAUGCCAUGUACCACACCCCACGCACCAUACACACCACACACACAUACUCUGAAUGCCACACACCAUACACACCACACACACACACUCUGAAUGCCACAUAUACCACCCACCAUACACACCACCCACCACACACACCACUCACCAUACACAUCACACACUCACACUCAUACGCACUCACUGUGCCCCACGCAGGCCCUGCCCAGGACCCCACCCCGACCCCUGGUUUCACCAGUGGUGGCUGCACUGCAGGUAGCAGCCCCGAACCCUGA